rnacentral:rRNA from 1 species
CCUACGGGCUGCAGCAGUGGGGAAUAUUGCACAAUGGGCGCAAGCCUGAUGCAGCCAUGCCGCGUGUGUGAAGAAGGCCUUCGGGUUGUAAAGUACUUUCAGCGGGGAGGAAGGUGUCGAGGUUAAUAACCUCAGCAAUUGACGUUACCCGCAGAAGAAGCACCGGCUAACUCCGUGCCAGCAGCCGCGGUAAAACGGAGGGUGCAAGCGUUAAUCGGAAUUACUGGGCGUAAUGCGCACGCAGGCGGUCUGUCAAGCCGGAUGUGAAAUCCCCGGGCUCAACCUGGGAACUGCAUUCGAAACUGGCAGGCUGGAGUCCUGUAGAGGGGGGUAGAAUUCCAGGUGUAGCGGUGAAAUGCGUAGAGAUCUGGAGGAAUACCGGUGGCGAAGGCGGCCCCCUGGACAAAGACUGACGCUCAGGUGCGAAAGCGUGGGGAGCAAACAGGAUUAGAUACCCGGGUAGU